rnacentral:rRNA from 1 species
UGGGGAAUUUUGGUACAAUGGGGGCGAACCCUGAUCCAGCCAUGCCGCGUGAGUGAAGAAGGCCUUCGGGUUGUAAAGCUCUUUCGGCCGGGAAGAAAUCGCGCCAGCUAAUACCUGGUGUGGAUGACGGUACCGGAAGAAGAAGCACCGGCUAACUACGUGCCAGCAGCCGCGGUAAUACGUAGGGUGCGAGCGUUAAUCGGAAUUACUGGGCGUAAAGCGUGCGCAGGCGGCUCUAUAAGACAGAUGUGAAAUCCCCGGGCUUAACCUGGGAACUGCGUUUGUGACUGUAGGGCUUGAGUGCGGCAGAGGGGGGUUGGAAUUCCGACGUGUAGCAGUGAAAUGCGUAGAGAUGUGGAGGAACACCGAUGGCGAAGGCAGCCCCCGUGGGUCGACACUGAC